rnacentral:tRNA from 1 species
UAGGUGGAUGCUCGGUGGUUGGAGCGUUUAGCUGUUAACUAAAAGUUUGUAGGAUCAAAGCCUUCCCUCCUAG